rnacentral:rRNA from 1 species
AGUGAACGCUGGCGGUAGGCCUAACACAUGCAAGUCGAACGGCAACACAGUAAGAGCUGGCGCUUACUGGUGGCGAGGGGCGUACGGGUGAGGAAUACAUCCAGAUCUACGUUUUAGUGGAGGAUAAGGUGUGGCAAUAUAGCCUGAUACCUCAUACGGCCUGCGGGUGACAGCACAGCAACUUCUGACCUUGCGCGUUUGAAUCGGCCGAUGUCGGAUUAGCUAGUUGGCGGGGUAAAGGCCCACCAAGGCGACGAUCCGUAGCUGGUCUGAGAGGAUGAUCAGCCACACUGGAACUGAGACACGGUCCAGACUCCUACGGGAGGCAGCAGUGGGGAAUAUUGGACAAUGGGCGCAAGCCUGAUCCAGCAAUACCGCGUGGGUGAAGAAGGCCUUCGGGUUGUAAAGCCCUUUUGUUAGGAAAGAAAAGCAGCAGGUUAAUACCCCGCUGUUAUGACGGUACCCAAAGAAUAAGCACCGGCUAACUUCGUG